CUUGGUUAGGAGUGGCUGGUCAUCCCCAAAAUUUCAUCCAUUCCCCUCUUCCUGCUUAAGUUCUGGAUAAGAGAAUUUUAAAGGGCGGCCGGUGAUGGUAGCUGGAAAAAGGAAGAAGCGUGAGCUUGCUGGGCGCAUUUAUUCGGUUCCCUGGGCCUAAGCACGGUCGUCAGAAACUGUGACCGGACGCAUUUGCCCUGCAAGUCUCGGGGGGUGAGCUGGCAACGCAAGGCAAAACCACCGUUAGGGAAUCCCAAGAGGGAGGGAAUAGAAACUGCGAGAGUGCGUCGGCGCUAAAAGCCGGCGGUGGCUAACGCUUCCCGCGGUCUCCGCGUUAGCCGCCUGCCCCCUUACCUUAGCACGGAGGGAACAGGCAAGCAGCAAGAGCAGCGUCGGCGGCGCAAGGAGCCGGAGGGAGGAGAAGGCGGGAGGCGCGGCCAUCGUGCGCGCUAGUGCUCCAUGGGCAGCAAGAAGGCGGCCGCAACAGCAGCAAAGCCCCGGCGGCGGCGGCGGCAAGAGGAGCCGUCUGAGCGCAAACCUGCAUGGCCGACCUGUGUGAAGACCUUGGAGUUAUGAUAUCUCCAUCAGGAAUUUAAGCAUGUCAACAAGGCUACGCAGAGCUGUUGUGUUCCAAAACUGGUUCCAAGAUAACACUGCCUCUCAAAACAUACAAUGCCUUGCAAAAGUACUCCGACCCCUGACCAAUGUUCUCAUAUUACUGAAUUAAAAAUGGUACAUUGUAA